rnacentral:rRNA from 1 species
UACGGAGGAUGCGAGCGUUAUCCGGAUUCAUUGGGUUUAAAGGGUGCGUAGGCGGACUAUUAAGUCAGUGGUGAAAUCCUGCAGCUUAACUGCAGAACUGCCAUUGAUACUGAUAGCCUUGAGUUUGGUUAAGGUAGGCGGAAUGUGUAAUGUAGCGGUGAAAUGCUUAGAUAUUACACAGAACACCAAUUGCGUAGGCAGCUUACUGAGCCGACACUGACGCUGAGGCACGAAAGCGUGGGGAUCGAACAGGAUUAGAAACCCGUGUAGUCC